rnacentral:rRNA from 1 species
AGUCUACUCAUAAAGUCGACAACGGAUGCCUUGGCGGUUUUGGCCUAGGAAGGACGUUUGUAUACCAACGAUAUCGUCGGUUAGGCGGUUAGCAGCCUGCGAUCCGGCGGUUUCCGAAUGGGGUAACCCUCCCCCGAUAAUAUCGGGGGAAGGCAAUAGUGAAAGUUCUGUCCAAAAGACAGAAAAAUAGCUGUUGUCAGGGCACCGGGCGAACUGAAACAUCUAAGUAGCCCGAGGAAAAGAAAUCAAUUACGAGAUUCCGUCAGUAGCGGCGAGCGAAAGCGGAAGAGUCUAAACCCCGCCUUUGGCGGGGGGUUGCAGGGCUUCCAAUAUGGGAUGAAAGGAAGGUAACAGAACUGCCUGGAAUGGCAGACCACAGAGAGUGAAAGUCUCGUACGUAAAACCCGAAUUUCCCCUAGGGAGUACCUAAGUACCACGAAGCACGGCAAAACUUCGUGGGAAUCUGGGUGGUCCACCAUCCAAGACUAAACACCAAAACCGACCGAUAGUGAACUAGUACCGUGAGGGAAAGGUUAAAAGUACGCAGGUAAUGCGAGUGAAAUAGUACCUGAAAUUGUCGACUAACAAACAGCGAGAGUCCCGAUUUAUCGUGGAUGAUCGCGUGCCUAUUGAAGAAUGAACCGAUGAGUUGCCGUCCUUUCUUUUGUCUAAGCGAGUAUCUCGCGGAGGCACAGUGAAAGCGAGCCCUAAACGGGCGAAUUAUAGAGAGAGUACGGCAGACCCGAAACCGGGUGAGCUAAGCAUGGACAGGGUGAAUCCCGACGAAAGUCGGGAAGAGGCCCGAACCCGUUGUUGUUGCAAAAACAUGGGAUGAUCUGUGCUUAGGGGUAAUAUGCCAAUCGAACCCGGAGAUAGCUGGUUCUCCUCGAAAUAUAUUUAGGUAUAGCAUUCCGAUUUUGCCCAGGGGUAGAGCACUAGAUGGGAUAUCAAGCUUUUAGCGAGAUAUCUCAAUUAAACUCCGAAUACUGGUAGCAUUUUGUCGGAAUAGUCAGUCCGGCUCGGCUAAGCGAGUCAGGUCAAGCGGGGAAACAACCCAAACUCCCAAUUAAGGCCCCUAAAUUUUAGCUAAGUUGUAAAGGAAGUGAGAUUUCCCAGACACCCAGGAGGUUGGCUUAGAAGCAGCCAUCCUUCAAAGAGUGCGUAACAGCUCACUGGAUGAGAAAUCUCGCGCCGAAAAUGAACGGGGAUAAGCUAAGUGCCGAAAUUGGAGUCCCGACUUUGUCGGGAGGUAGAGGAGCGUUCCUGUUGCAGUGAAGCUCAUUCCGUAAGGGAGGGUGGAGCGGCAGGAAGUGAGAAUGUCGGUAUGAGUAGCGAGAGUCCGAUGAAAAUUCGGACCGCCGUAAGCCCAAGGUUUCCGUCCCAACGUUCAUCGGGGACGGGUUAAUCGGAUCUAAGGCGAGUCCCUCCGAUUCGGAGGGGGUAGCUCGAUGUACAAGCCGUAGAAAUUCGGCUAUAGCUUUGAGAAGUUUCCUAGGGGAUGACGAGAUUGGAGCAGCGGAGUCUCGUACACACGGGAUUUAAAUCAUAAGAUAGUGAUAAUUGGGAAAUCCAUUAUUGCGUUUAAUCAAGUGAUGACGGAGAGUUCAAUGCGCAAGCUGCGGACAAUUCCGCACGUUUCAGUGUCCAAGAAAAAUCUCACAGGGUCCCGAUUUAUCGGGACAAAUCUCAAGGUUUCCGUACCGCAAACCGACACAGGUGGGCUGGUAGAGUAUACUAAGGCGAACGGGAGAAAACGGUUCAAGGAACUCGGCAAAACAGCUGGGCGUAACCUAUGGGAGAUGCCCUGCCCCGAUUUAUCGGGGCCGCAGCAAAUGACGCUAACCGACUGUUUAACUAAAACACAGGUCUCUGCAAAGCCGAAAGGCAACGUAUAGGGGCUGACGCCUGCCCAGUGCACGAAGGUUAAGAUUCUUGGGUGACUCUCCAAAAGAGAUAAGCUUAGGACUCAAGCCCGUGUGAACGGCAGCAGUAACUAUAACUGUUCUAUGGUAGCGAAAUUCCUUGUCGGGUAAGUUCCGACCCGCACGAAAGGCAGAACGAGUUAGCGACUGUCUUGAGCCGUUACCCGGCGAAAUUGAAAUGGCUGUGAAGAUGCGGCCUACUUGCACCUGGACAAAAAGACCCCGUGGAGCUUUACUGUAGCUUGGCAUUGGGAAGACGUUUGAAACUGUCGAGUAUAGGAGGGACCCCGCCGCAAGGCGGGGAACAGUGGAAUACCUCUCUUUUUAAUCGUUAACCCUAAUCUCUUGGCCGCUCAAACAACCGGCAGGGAGACAGUGUCUGGUGGGCAGUUUCGCUGGGGAGGUGGCCUCCAAAAGUGUAACGGAGGCGUACAAAGGUCGGCUUAUCCCGGAUGGAAAUCGGGAUGUAAGUGCAAACGCAAAAGCCGGCUUGACUGAGAGACUUACAAGUCGAACAGGCGCGAAAGCGGGUGUUAGUGAUCCUCGGAUCCGCCGUGGUUGCGGACCGAGCUUAACGGAUAAAAGCUACCCCGGGGAUAACAGGCUGAUCGGGCCCGAGAGUCCAUAUCGACGGCCCGGUUUGGCACCUCGAUGUCGGCUCAUCCUAUCCUGGAGGUGGAGAAGCUUCCAAGGGUCCGGCUGUUCGCCGGUUAAAAGGGUACGCGAGCUGGGUUCAGAACGUCGUAAGACAGUAGACCAAUAAUGGUACGACAUCAUUAUUAAUUAGAGCUGUCUUUCCUUCAACGUUUUGGACAAUAAGAGGAAAUGAAGGAGAUCGCCCGUCCAGGGCGAAAUAAAUCUGGCUAAAUGCUGGAAAAUCCGAAGAAUCGUGUGAUACUUGAGAAGUAAUUAAAAUAGAGAUAACAUAUCUCUAUGAUCUCAAGUGAUAACUCAUCACGUGCGGACAAUCAGCAGGUAA